rnacentral:lncRNA from 1 species
GCAUCAGACGUGAGUGUCUUAGGGGUCCUGAGACAUAUCGGGGGACCCUCAGCCCCCGAUAGAACAGAUCCCAGCUUGAAGCAAGUGUCUGGGGACUCCUACCUCUAACUCUCCCUCUCCACUGGACGAGCUCCAUGAGGCUGUGUUGUGGAAGGAGUAGGACUCGGUGGAACAGGAAUGCAUUCUGGCCAGUCUGAGAAUCGCUAGAAUGUGCCAAGCUCAGAUUCAGAUGCCAGUGACCGAAGAUCUGUGGGUGUAACCACAACGAGGGCUGGGCACAUGGAGGAGAGACUGGAGCUGCUCUCUCGGAGUUUCUGCUUGGGCCACUGCUUCCUCAUCCUGGCAAGCAGCAACAGGACGCAAAUGCACCAUCUCCAUCCGGAUUCUGCUUCCACCAAGGGGAUCUACUCUGCACCCUCCACACCACACCCAGGUGACCAAAUUGGGCCCCACCUUGCCACUCAGUUGGGUCGGCGCUUCCAAAGGCCUCCAGCAUCAUCAACUACCUGCCUCGGUCUGGGACCGGGAUUCAAGCUGGGCCUCAGGUUGGGUGGCAGGUUGGCCACGUUCUUCAAUCCAAUACGCUCAGAUCCAGCAACCAGAAUCAGCCUUCGAUUGGCCUGUGGAGCAUCACCCCUCCGGCAUGUGGCUGGGCCCCGGGAACACUGGCCACGAGCUGCCUGGUCACAGACCCUCUCCUCAGCCUCUGAGAACACAGUCAUUGCCUCCCUCCCACUUUCCCUCUUUGGAGGGUCACACUGAACUUGCCAGGGGAGACCAGAGAUGGCGAGCCCUUCCCCAGCCCUACUGGAGGUCAGCAAGGGGAACUCUCCUCUGCCCAGACCCACUAUUCAGACGGUUCUCACUAGAACAAAGUUCUUCCUCACUGUGAGCUGAAAUCGGCCUCUUUCCAACAUCCACUUCUCGGUGGUGGCUCUGCUCUGUGGAGUUACACAGAAGAUCAGUUCCUUUUUCCCUUUGGCAAAUUUUUCUAUAUUUGGGGACAUAUCUUCGUUGGUCCCCCUUUUCUGACUCGAGGACCCUGAUGCCCCAGGGAGACUAACGUGGUUAUAUCCCAAUCUGGCUACACAGCAGCAGCUUGCCAGAUCCCAUGCUGCUCAUGUCCCUGGGGAGUUGGUCGCAGCCCUCACAGCCGGUCCACACCUGCGCCGGCCUUUCCGGCCUCUGAGCCCCUCUC